rnacentral:rRNA from 1 species
AUUGAACGCUGGCGGCAGGCCUAACACAUGCAAGUCGAGCGGAUGAAGGGAGCUUGCUCCUGGAUUCAGCGGCGGACGGGUGAGUAAUGCCUAGGAAUCUGCCUGGUAGUGGGGGAUAACGUCCGGAAGCGGGCGCUAAUACCGCAUACGUCCUGAGGGAGAAAGUGGGGGAUCUUCGGACCUCACGCUAUCAGAUGAGCCUAGGUCGGAUUAGCUAGUUGGUGGGGUAAAGGCCUACUAAGGCGACGAUCCGUAACUGGUCUGAGAGGAUGAUAAGUCACACUGGAACUGAGACAGGGUCCAGACUCCUGCGGGAGGCAGCAGUGGGGAAUAUUGGACAAUGGGCGAAAGCCUGAUCCAGCCAUGCCGAGUGUGUGAAGAAGGUCUUCGGAUUGUAAAGCACUUUAAGUUGGGAGGAAGGGCAGUAAGUUAAUACCUUGCUGUUUUGACGUUACCAACAGAAGAAGCACCGGCUAACUUCGUG